rnacentral:rRNA from 1 species
UACGAAGGGUGCAAGCGUUACUCGGAAUUACUGGGCGUAAAGCGUGCGUAGGCGGUUUGUUAAGUCCGUUGUGAAAGCCCUGGGCUCAACCUGGGAAUUGCAGUGGAUACUGGCGAGCUAGAGUGCGGUAGAGGAUGGUGGAAUUCCCGGUGUAGCGGUGAAAUGCGUAGAGAUCGGGAGGAACACCCGUGGCGAAGGCGGCCAUCUGGACCAGCACUGACGCUGAGGCACGAAAGCGUGGGGAGCAAAC